rnacentral:lncRNA from 1 species
GCCGUUGAUCAAAAUAAUCCAAUGGCUGAGAUCCAAAGCACCCACUUUUUGCUUUUAAACAAAACAAAACCCUAAUCCCCCAUUUCUCAAGAAAUCAAUUGCUGCUUCUCCACUCUCUCUCUCUACAGUCCCUCUCUUCUCUACCUUCUCUCUAAAACAAAACCAUUCCCAACCACUAGCCACCUCACCGACCUUUGUCACUGCUCUGCCUCCCUCCAUUCAUCCCCCAACAGCAAUCGCCCUGUGUCACCAUCGACAAAACAACUGCAGCUACCACCAUCUCUCCUUCUCAAACAGCUGCCACCGUCGCUUUCUCUGUCAUCACUGAGCUCCUCUCCCCCCACCAAUUGCUGCUCUAGCCGGCUCCACAACCGAUCCAGUUCCAGCCCAACACCAUUUUGGCAAACACCAAUUUCUACUUCUUUGUUUCGUGUAAGCUAACCAUGUCAUUAAUGUUGAAUUAGUCAGAUCCCUAUCUCAGUGUUUAGACAUCCUUUAGUAUUGAGUUGACAAAGUAUCCAUACUUGGUUGAAUUUAUUGGGUUCUUUUCUACAUGUAUCACCAAGUUUUUUUAGGAAAAGACUAUAAUAACUAAUAAGUUUCGUUAAAAGUCCAUGCCAUGGUGCAAGUGCUAGACAAAGUCUUGUUAUGAAUUUUGUUUUCUCUACAUAGCUGGAAAAUUAUGUUUUCUCCAGAAAUGUAAAUGGGUAGACAAAAUUAUUGGAAGUAGAUAACUUUCGUGCAUGAUGUUUUAUACAAAAUUUGAGCCUGAAGCUCUAGUUGGGUUGCAUAAAUUAAUAUUUUGCUGAACCUAGGAACUCAUCGUUGGAUCUUUAUACGUUGCUUAUGUCUAAUGUUUAUAAUUUUGUGCAAAUAUAUAUCACUUCAUUUAUUGUAUAAAUCUAGCUAGCUAGCUGUUUUACACAUUCUAUGUGUAUUUAAGAAGACAUUUAUAUGUUUGAGUUGUGUUGUUUCCUUUUCAUAUGUUCAUAUUAAUUAUAGUUACAUAUAUAUUUGUCUUAAAUACAAUUGUGAUUCAAAUUAUUAUUGAGAAGGCCGACGGUUUGAAAGGGAGUGGCUUCCAAAGAGACGUCCAAGAAACCUUUACUCUGGUCAAUAAUAAAUGAAAUUAGUAAAGUGUAAUCACUUGAAAAUGUGAAUUCAUAACUUAAAAUUGGUUUAACGUUGGCACUUGAAAUAUGAAUUCAUGACUUGAAAAUGGUUAGGUUUAUUCACUUGAAAUGUGAAUUAGAGAGUUGAAUAAGUGUAGUGUUUUAAAAUGUGUAGCAAUCACUUGAGAAGUGGAUUAGCAACUUGAAAAUGAUUUAGCAUAGUUACUUGAAAGAUGAACUUGUGUUUUGAAAUUAGUAAAGUGUAAUCACUUGAAAAUGUGAAUUCAUAACUUGAAAUUGGUUUAGUGUUGGCACUUGAAAUGUGAAUUAGAGAGUUGAAAAUGGUUAAGUUUAGUAUUUUGAAAUGUGUAGUAAUCACUUGAGAAGUGGAUUAGAAACUUGAAAAUGGUUUAGUGUAGUUACUUGAAAGGUAAACUUGUGUUUUGAAAUUAGUUAAGUAUAAUCACUUGAAAAUGUGAAUUCAUAACUUGAAAUUGGUUUAGUGUUGAUACUUGAAUGUGAAUUCUUGACUUGAAAAUGAUUAAGUUUAGUAACUUGAAAUGUGAAUUAGAGAGUUAAAAAUGGUUAAGUGUAGUAUUUUGAAAUGUGUACUAGUCACUUGAGAAGUGGAUUAGCGACUUGAAAAUGGUUUAGUGUAGUUCAUGAAAGUUGAACUUGUGUUUUGAAAUUAGUAAAGUGUCACUUGAAAAUGUGAAUUCAUGACUUGAAAUUGGUUUAGUGUUGACACUUGAAAUGUGAAUUCAUGACUUGAAAAUGGUUAGGUUUAGCCACUUGCAAUGUGAAUUAGAGAGUUAAAAAUGGUCAAGUGUAGUGUUUUGAAAUGUGUACUAGUCACUUGAGAAGUGGAUUAACGACUUGAAAAUGAUUUAGUGUAGUUCUUGAAAAGUGAACUUGUGUUUUAAAAUUAGUAAAGUGUGAUCACUUUAAAAUGUGAAUUCAUAACUUGAAAUUGAUUUAAUGUUGACACUUGAAAUGUGAAUUCAUGAGCUGAAAAUAGUUAGGCUUAGUCACUUGAAAUGUGAAUUAGAGAGUUGAAAAUGGUCAAGUGUAGUGUUUUAAAAUGUGUAAUAGUGGCUUUAAAGUGAUCAAGUGUAGUCACUUGAGAAGUGGAUUAGCGACUAGAAAAUGGUUUAGUGUAGUCACUUGAAAGGUGAACUUGUGUUUUGAAAUUAGUAAAGUGUAAUCACUUGAAAGUGUGAAUUCAUGACUUGAAAUUGAUUAGUGUUGUCACUUGAAAUGUGAAUUCAUGACUUAAAAAUAUUUAAGUUUAGUCACUUAAGAAGUGAAUUAGAGAGUUAAAAAUGGUUAAGGGUAGUGUUUUGAAAUGUAUACUAGUGACUUCAAAUUGAUUAAGUGUGUAGUCACUUGAAAUGUGAAUUAGAGAGUUAAAAACUGUUAAGUGUAGUAUUAUGAAACGUGUAUUAGUGACUUCAAAGUGAUCAAGUGUAGUCACUUGAGAAGUGGAUUAGCGACUAGAAAAUUGUUUAGUGUAGUUACUUGAAAGGUGAACUUGUGUUUUGAAAUUAGUAAAGUGUAAUCACUUGAAAGUGUGAAUUUAUGACUUGAAAUAGAUCUAGUAUUGUCACUUGAAAUGUGAAUUCAUGACUUGAAAUAAGUUUAGUCACUUGAGAAGUGAAUUAGAGAGUUGAAAAUGGUUAAGUGUAGUGUUUUGAAAUGUGUACAAGUGACUUCAAAUUGAUCAAGUGUGUGGUCACUUGAAAUGUGAAUUUGAGAGUUGAAAAUUGUUAAGUGUAGUGUUUUGAAAUGUGUACAAGUGACUUCAAAUUGAUCAAGUGUGUGGUCACUUGAAAUGUGAAUUUGAGAGUUGAAAAUUGUUAAGUGUAGUGUUUUGAAAUGUGUACAAGUGACUUCAAAUUGAUCAAGUGUGUGGUCACUUGAAAUGUGAAUUUGAGAGUUGAAAAUUGUUAAGUGUAGUGUUUUGAAAUGUGUACAAGUGACUUCAAAUUGAUCAAGUGUGUGGUCACUUGAAAUGUGAAUUUGAGAGUUGAAAAUUGUUAAGUGUAGUGUUUUGAAAUGUGUACUAGUGACUUCAAAUUAAUCAAGUGUAGUCACUUGAGAAGUGAAUUAGUGACUUGAAAAUGGUUUAGUGUAGUUACUUGAAAGAUGUACUUGUGUUUUGAAAUUAGUAAAGUGCAAUCAUUUGAAAAUGUGAAUUCAUGACUUGAAAUCGGUUUAGUGUUGUCACUUGAAAUGUGAAUUAAUGACUUGAAAAUAGUUUGUGUUGUCACUUGAAAUGUGAAUUCAUGACUUGAAAAUGAUUAAGUGUAGUAUUUUGAAAUGUGUACUGGUGACUUAAAAAUGAUCAAGUCACCACCACCACCACCUGCACCUGCACCUUCUCUUCUACCUCCUCCCGUAGAAGAUAUUGAUGUAGAUUUGAUUGGUCUAGUUCUUAGAGAUACGGACAUGCUUGGUAGAGUGUUCAUCAAGCUUGAUGGAUCUUCAUAAGUUUAUUUUUUAAUUAAUGGGUAUAUUUUUCUCAUUAAUAAAAUAUUCAAGCUUACAUACUUAUUAUGUUAUUUACAGGUAGUAUCUCGCGUCAAAAGAGUUAAUAAUUCUGUAAGGGAGAGCGUUAUGAGACUUUUUACAUAUCCUUGGAACGAGUGGUGGGACAUUCCAAUAGUUUCUAAACAAGCCAUGUUUCAAGAGUUUAAGGUCUAUUAAAUUUAAUUAUUAUUUAGUUAACUUUAAUAUAUACAUACAUAUAUACACACACAUUAGUCAUAUAAAAUCAUAUAACACUAGUCAAUUGAUUUUCAGACAAUGUGUUGUUGGUUGUAUAUAUAUAUAUAUCAUAUAACUAUAGUCAAUUUAUUUUCAGACAAUGUGUUGUUGGUUGGCAAAGUACGAUCAGACCAUAUCUACAAUUUUUGAGAGACAUGCUGCUAUGUCACAUAAGAUUGCACAUCUUUGACGUGCCUUGACAUAGGCCAUUGCUCCUAAUUCAAGUAAUGAAGAGGAAACAAAGAGUGAUGAGGAGUUUGUUGAGGCUACUCCUUAGUGUUGUUGGACUUGAAUUUUAGAUAAUUUUUAGAUAUUUUUGAACUUAGCUUUUAAUUAGUGAAAAAUCUUUAGGAGUGUUUAAGUAUUUUGAAUGUUGUUGGAUUCAUUGUUUAAGUGUUGUUGAUUUGAAUUGCUUAAAUGAUUUAUUGAUGUGUGUUGCAUGAUUAUUGUUAUAAUGUGU